CCCUUAGAGUUGAUCCUGGCUCAGAACGAACGUUAGCGGCGCGCCUAACACAUGCAAGUCGCACGAGAAAGGGCUUCGGCCCCGGUACAGUGGCGCACGGGUGAGUAAUACGUGGAUAAUCUUCCCUCGGGCGGGGGAUAACCUUCCGAAAGGAGGGCUAAUACCGCAUAAGACCACGGUCUCGAAAGAGACUGUGGUCAAAGCAGGCCUCUAUACAUAAGCUUGCACCUGAGGAUGAGUCCACGGCCCAUCAGCUAGUUGGCGGGGUAAUAGCCCACCAAGGCAAAGACGGGUAGCUGGUCUGAGAGGAUGAUCAGCCACACUGGAACUGAGACACGGUCCAGACUCCUACGGGAGGCAGCAGUGGGGAAUCUUGCGCAAUGGGCGAAAGCCUGACGCAGCGACGCCGCGUGAGUGAUGAAGGCCUUCGGGUUGUAAAGCUCUGUGGGGAGGGACGAAUAAGUGUUGGCUAAUAUCCAGCGCGAUGACGGUACCUCCUUAGCAAGCACCGGCUAACUCUGUGCCAGCAGCCGCGGUAAGACAGAGGGUGCAAACGUUGUUCGGAAUUACUGGGCGUAAAGCGUGUGUAGGCGGCUUUGCAAGUCGGAUGUGAAAGCCCCGGGCUCAACCCGGGAAGUGCACUCGAUACUGCAGAGCUUGAGUAUCGGAGAGGUUGGUGGAAUUCUCGGUGU
rnacentral:rRNA from 1 species